CAGCCGCCACGGUAAUCCGUAGGUGGCAAGCGUUGUCCGGAAUUAUUGGGCGUAAAGCGCGCGCAGGCGGUUUCUUAAGUCUGAUGUGAAAGCCCCCGGCUUAACCGGGGAGGGUCAUUGGAAACUGGGAGACUUAGAGUGCAGAAGAGGAGAGUGGAAUUCCAUGUGUAGCGGUGAAAUGCGUAGAUAUAUGGAGGAACACCAGUGGCGAAGGCGACUCUCUGGUCUGUAACUGACGCUGAGGCGCGAAAGCGUGGGGAGCAAACAGGAUUAGAUACCCCCGUAGUCCCUGUCUCUUAUA
rnacentral:rRNA from 1 species